CCAGCACUUGAUUUUGCUAGCGCACCGAACACGAGCGGGAGCAGAGCCGCGUACCAUCCGCUCCACCCGGCGCUUCCGUCUUGGUUGUCGAAUUGCGCAGCGGCCAACCGUGGUUGUAUUUCCGGCGACGAAGUUGAACAUCUCAUCGGUACUGUGUGAAACCGCGACACCGUCCUUCACCGUGCGCGAAUCCUAGCUAUUGCUGCCUCCCCCUUUCACUGGGAAAUUGGAGAGCAGAGACUUCUUUCUCAUUUCCAGAAGCCGUUGGUUCGCAGAGAAGAUGAUAGAUGCGUCUCCUUUCUCUUCGUUGGAGGUCGCAACCUCAUUUGCAAGGCAGUUGUGGUUCAGAGAGUCCCCUAUACAAUCAUGGUUGGAUGCCUUCUCUGGACAAAGUCACCUCUUUCGAGCCAUUCGUUAUGCCCCAGGAUCAAUGAUGAGGGUUUGUUUGCUGCUACCCAAUUUUAUUUUGUAAAUACUUUUCUUAUUUGUGAGGGAAACCCAUAUAUACAUGUUUAUGUGUAAAUGCUAGGAAUUGCUUCAUUGGGACCGAAAGUACCGAGCCAAAUAUGGGUUUGAGUUUAUAACAAGUACGGACUCGUGGGAGUCGCAGAAAAUACUUGACGAGGUGAAGGUACGCUAUGAAAAUACUCUUGUUGUUAAACUGGAUAUUGCAGCACGAGAGGAGUUCAAACUCAUAGAAGAUGGACUUGAACGACUAUGGGAACGAUUAUCUCGAUCCCAGGUUCAGGAGGCACCCGAAGAAACGGGGGAGGUGGUGCCGGAUUCAGUGGAAAAAGAGGCUGAUGUCUCCUCCGAAAGCUCUGAAGAGGCUGAUUCUGCUGGACAAAAGGCCUCGAUGCUAUCAUAUGACCUCAAUAAAACGCCGGACAAGAAUGAAUAUCCAUAUGGUGGAAUGUCCCCUGAUACGAAGAAUGCGUGGCACCUAACUGUGUGGGCGACACGAUACCUGAACCCUUGAAGAUAUUGCAAUAGUUCUAAAAAUUUGGAUUUGGAUUUAUAGGCUGCCCAAGACUUCUGUGUUGAAGUUGUCGUGACUUAAUGGAACUCUUUAAAUUGCUUAAUGAGGGAUUGUUAGUAUGCUGCAUGUUGAAUGCCCUUGGUCUACUGUUUUAC